rnacentral:rRNA from 1 species
UUAGUGGCGGACGGGUGAGUAACGCGUGAGUAACCUGCCUUCAAGAGGGGGAUAACAUUCUGAAAAGAAUGCUAAUACCGCAUGACAUAUCGGAACCACAUGGUUUUGAUAUCAAAGAUUUUAUCGCUUGAAGAUGGACUCGCGUCUGAUUAGCUAGUUGGUAAGGUAACGGCUUACCAAGGCGACGAUCAGUAGCCGGACUGAGAGGUUGAUCGGCCACAUUGGGACUGAGACACGGCCCAGACUCCUACGGGAGGCAGCAGUGGGGAAUAUUGCACAAUGGGGGGAACCCUGAUGCAGCGAUGCCGCGUGGAGGAAGAAGGUUUUCGGAUUGUAAACUCCUGUUGAAGAGGACGAUAAUGACGGUACUCUUUUAGAAAGCUCCGGCUAACUACGUGCCAGCAGCCGCGGUAAUACGUAGGGAGCGAGCGUUGUCCGGAAUUACUGGGUGUAAAGGGAGCGUAGGCGGGAUGGCAAGUCAGAUGUGAAAACUAUGGGCUCAACCCAUAGACUGCAUUUGAAACUGUUGUUCUUGAGUGAGGUAGAGGUAAGCGGAAUUCCUGGUGUAGCGGUGAAAUGCGUAGAGAUCAGGAGGCACAUCGGUGGCGAAGGCGGCCUACUGGGCACCAACUGACGCUGAGGCUCGAAAGUGUGGGUAGCAAACAGGAUUAGAUACCCUGGUAGUCCACACCGUAAACGAUGAUUACUAGGUGUUGGAGGAUUGACCCCUUCAGUGCCGCAGUUAACACAAUAAGUAAUCCACCUGGGGAGUACGACCGCAAGGUUGAAACUCAAAGGAAUUGACGGGGGCCCGCACAAGCAGUGGAGUAUGUGGUUUAAUUCGACGCAACGCGAAGAACCUUACCAAGUCUUGACAUCCCUUGACAGACAUAGAAAUAUGUAAUCUCUUCGGAGCAAGGAGACAGGUGGUGCAUGGUUGUCGUCAGCUCGUGUCGUGAGAUGUUGGGUUAAGUCCCGCAACGAGCGCAACCCCUGUUGCCAGUUGCCAGCAUUAAGUUGGGGACUCUGGCGAGACUGCCGGUGACAAGCCGGAGGAAGGCGGGGAUGACGUCAAAUCAUCAUGCCCCUUAUGAUCUGGGCGACACACGUGCUACAAUGGCGGUCACAGAGUGAGGCGAACCCGCGAGGGGGAGCAAACCACAAAAAGGCCGUCCCAGUUCGGACUGUAGUCUGCAACCCGACUACACGAAGCUGGAAUCGCUAGUAAUCGCGAAUCAGAAUGUCGCGGUGAAUACGUUCCCGGGUCUUGCACACACCGCCCGUCA